GAUGAACGCUGGCGGCGUGCCUAAUACAUGCAAGUCGAGCGAACGGACGAGAAGCUUGCUUCUCUGAUGUUAGCGGCGGACGGGUGAGUAACACGUGGAUAACCUACCUAUAAGACUGGGAUAACUUCGGGAAACCGGAGCUAAUACCGGAUAAAAUUUUGAACCGCAUGGUUCAAUAGUGAAAGACGGUCUUGCUGUCACUUAUAGAUGGAUCCGCGCUGCAUUAGCUGGUUGGUAAGGUAACGGCUUACCAAGGCAACGAUGCAUAGCCGACCUGAGAGGGUGAUCGGCCACACUGGAACUGAGACACGGUCCAGACUCCUACGGGAGGCAGCAGUAGGGAAUCUUCCGCAAUGGGCGAAAGCCUGACGGAGCAACGCCGCGUGAGUGAUGAAGGUCUUCGGAUCGUAAAACUCUGUUAUUAGGGAAGAACAUAUGUGUAAGUAACUGUGCACAUCUUGACGGUACCUAAUCAGAAAGCCACGGCUAACUACGUG
rnacentral:rRNA from 1 species